GCAGGCUGCAACCCGCCUGCGUGAAGUCGGAAUCGCUAGUAAUCGCGGAUCAGCAUGCCGCGGUGAAUACGUUCCCGGGCCUUGUACACACCGCCCGUCACACCAUGAGAGUCGGGAACACCCGAAGUCCGUAGCCUAACCGCAAGGGGGCGCGGCCGAAGGUGGGUUCGAUAAUUGGGGUGAAGUCGUAACAAGGUACC
rnacentral:rRNA from 1 species